rnacentral:rRNA from 1 species
GAAAGGCCAAUCAAACUUCGUGAUAGCUGGUUCUCUCCGAAAUAUAUUUAGGUAUAGCGUUGUGUCGUAAUAUAAGGGGGUAGAGCACUGAAUGGGCUAGGGCAUACACCAAUGUACCAAACCCUAUCAAACUCCGAAUACCUUAUAUGUAAUCACAGCAGUCAGGCGGCGAGUGAUAAAAUCCGUCGUCAAGAGGGAAACAACCCAGACUACCAGCUAAGGUCCCUAAAUCUUACUUAAGUGGAAAACGAUGUGAAGUUACUUAAACAACCAGGAGGUUGGCUUAGAAGCAGCCAUCCUUUAAAGAAAGCGUAAUAGCUCACUGGUCUAGUGAUUUUGCGCGGAAAAUAUAACGGGGCUAAAGUAAGUACCGAAGCUGUAGACUUGCGCACAACUUAGAUUAUUUAAGUUUAGAAUAUGAGAAACUAAGUUAUAUGUUUAGUUAUAUUUUUACUGAUUUUUAUAGAGUAAAGAUAGAAAUAAAACUUAGUAAAAUCAGUAAAAAUAUUCUUAGACUAAAGUUAAGUAGUUUAAGUUGUGUGCAAGUGGUAGGAGAGCGUUCUAUUUGCGUCGAAGGUAUACCGGUAAGGAGUGCUGGAGCGAAUAGAAGUGAGCAUGCAGGCAUGAGUAGCGAUAAUUAAUGUGAGAAUCAUUAACGCCGUAAACCCAAGGUUUCCUACGCGAUGCUCGUCAUCGUAGGGUUAGUCGGGUCCUAAGUCGAGUCCGAAAGGGGUAGACGAUGGCAAAUUGGUUAAUAUUCCAAUACCAACAUUAGUGUGCGAUGGAAGGACGCUUAGGGCUAAGGGGGCUAGCGGAUGGAAGUGCUAGUCUAAGGUCGUAGGAGGUUAUACAGGCAAAUCCGUAUAACAAUACUCCGAGAACUGAAAGGCUUUUUGAAGUCUUCGGAUGGAUAGAAGAACCCCUGAUGCCGUCGAGCCAAGAAAAGUUUCUAAGUUUAGCUAAUGUUGCCCGUACCGUAAACCGACACAGGUGGGUGGGAUGAGUAUUCUAAGGCGCGUGGAAGAACUCUCUUUAAGGAACUCUGCAAAAUAGCACCGUAUCUUCGGUAUAAGGUGUGGUUCGCUUCGUAUUAGGAUUUACUCCGAAAGCGAAGAAACUUACAACAAAGAGUCCCUCCCGACUGUUUACCAAAAACACAGCACUCUGCUAACUCGUAAGAGGAUGUAUAGGGUGUGACGCCUGCCCGGUGCUCGAAGGUUAAUUGAUGGGGUUAGCAUUAGCGAAGCUCUUGAUCGAAGCCCGAGUAAACGGCGGCCGUAACUAUAACGGUCCUAAGGUAGCGAAAUUCCUUGUCGGUUAAAUACCGACCUGCAUGAAUGGCGUAACGAGAUGGGAGCUGUCUCAAAGAGGGAUCCAGUGAAAUUGUAGUGGAGGUGAAAAUUCCUCCUACCCGCGGCAAGACGGAAAGACCCCGUGGACCUUUACUACAGCUUGACACUGCUACUUGGAUAAGAAUGUGCAGGAUAGGUGGGAGGCUUUGAGUAUAUGACGCCAGUUGUAUAUGAGCCAUUGUUGAGAUACCACUCUUUCUUAUUUGGGUAGCUAACCAGCUUGAGUUAUCCUCAAGUGGGACAAUGUCUGGUGGGUAGUUUGACUGGGGCGGUCGCCUCCCAAAUAAUAACGGAGGCUUACAAAGGUUGGCUCAGAACGGUUGGAAAUCGUUCGUAGAGUAUAAAGGUAUAAGCCAGCUUAACUGCAAGACAUACAAGUCAAGCAGAGACGAAAGUCGGUCUUAGUGAUCCGGUGGUUCUGUGUGGAAGGGCCAUCGCUCAAAGGAUAAAAGGUACCCCGGGGAUAACAGGCUGAUCUCCCCCAAGAGCUCACAUCGACGGGGAGGUUUGGCACCUCGAUGUCGGCUCAUCGCAUCCUGGGGCUGGAGCAGGUCCCAAGGGUAUGGCUGUUCGCCAUUUAAAGCGGUACGCGAGCUGGGUUCAGAACGUCGUGAGACAGUUCGGUCCCUAUCUGCCGUGGGCGUAAGAAGAUUGAAGAGAUUUGACCCUAGUACGAGAGGACCGGGUUGAACAAACCACUGGUGUAGCUGUUGUUCUGCCAAGAGCAUCGCAGCGUAGCUAAGUUUGGAAAGGAUAAACGCUGAAAGCAUCUAAGCGUGAAGCCAACUCUAAGAUGAAUCUUCUCUAAGCUCUCUAGAAGACUACUAGUUUGAUAGGCUGGGUGUGUAAUGGAUGAAAGUCCUUUAGCUGACCAGUACUAAUAGAGCGUUUGGCUUAUCUUUAAUAAAGCAU